UACGUAGGGGGCUAGCGUUGCUCGGAAUCACUGGGCGUAAAGCGCACGUAGGCGGCUUCUUAAGUCAGGGGUGAAAUCCUGGAGCUCAACUCCAGAACUGCAUUUGAUACUGAGGAGCUUGAGUCCGGGAGAGGUGAGUGGAACUGCGAGUGUAGAGGUGAAAUUCGUAGAUAUUCGCAAGAACACCAGUGGCGAAGGCGGCCCACUGGCCCGGUACUGACGCUGAGGUGCGAAAGCGUGGGGAGCAAACAGG
rnacentral:rRNA from 1 species